rnacentral:rRNA from 1 species
UUCUUGGUCAAUUUAUUGAAGGUGAAAGUCGUAACAAGGUUUCCGUAGGUGAUACUGCGGAAGGAUCAUUACCAUACCCCGGCCCCUCGCGGGCCGCGUAUACCACCCGUGCCUACCCUACCUCUGUUGCUUUGGCGAGGCGUCCCCUCGGGGCCGGCGGCUCCGGCUGCUGCGCCCUCGCCAGAGACCCCCCAACUCUUUGUGUGAAUAACGUGAUGUCUGAGUACGAUCGAAUCGUGAAAAACUUUCAACAACGGAUCUCUUGGUUCUGGCAUCGAUGAAGAACGCAGCGAAAUGCGAUAAGUAAUGUGAAUUGCAGAAUUCAGUGAAUCAUCGAAUCUUUGAACGCACAUUGCGCCCUUUGGUAUUCCGAAGGGCAUGCCUGUCCGAGCGUCAUUGACAACCACUCAAGCCCUGGCUUGGUCUUGGGGUGCCCGGCAUCGGGGCCCCUAAAAUCAGUGGCGGUGCCGCCCGGCCCUGCGCGUAGUAGCCAUCCUCGCGUCUGGGUCCGGGCGGCGUCCUGCCAGCAACCCCCCCCACUUCCACACCGGUUGACCUCGGAUCAUGUAGGGAUACCCGCUGAAAUUACGUGUAUCAAUAACCCGGAAACAAA